rnacentral:rRNA from 1 species
UAGAGUUUGAUCCUGGCUCAGAUUGACCGCUGGCGGCAGGCCUAACACAUGCAAGUCGAGCGGCAGCGGGAAAGUAGCUUGCUACUUUUGCCGGCGAGCGGCGGACGGGUGAGUAAUGCCUGGGAAAUUGCCCAGUCGAGGGGGAUAACUGUUGGAAACGACUGCUAAUACCGCACACCCCCUACGGGGGAAAGCAGGGGACCUUCGGGCCUUGCGCGAUUGAAUAUGCCCAGGUGGGAUUAGCUAGGGGGAGAGGUAAUGGCUCACCGAGGCGACCAUCCCUAUCUGGUCAGAGAGGAUGAUCACCCCCCCUGGAAACUGAGACACGGUCCAGACUCCUACGGGAGGCAGCAGUGGGGAAUAUUGCACAAUGGGGGGAAACCCUGAUGCAGCCAUGCCGCGUGUGUGAAGAAGGCGUUCGGAAAAUAAAGCACUUUCAGCGAGGAGGAAAGGUCAGUAGAUAAUAUCUACUGGCUGUGACGUUACUCGCAGAAGAAGCACCGGCUAACUCCGUGCCAGCAGCCGCGGUAAUACGGAGGGUGCAGGCGUUAAUCGGAAUUACUGGGCGUAAAGCGCACGCAGGCGGUUGGAUAAGUUAGAUGUGAAAGCCCCGGGCUCAACCUGGGAAUUGCAUUUAAAACUGUCCAGCUAGAGUCUUGUAGAGGGGGGUAGAAUUCCAGGUGUAGCGGUGAAAUGCGUAGAGAUCUGGAGGAAUACCGGUGGCGAAGGCGGCCCCCUGGACAAAGACUGACGCUCAGGUGCGAAAGCGUGGGGAGCAAACAGGAUUAGAUACCCUGGUAGUCCACGCCGUAAAC